AGUGAACGCUGGCGGUAGGCCUAACACAUGCAAGUCGAACGGCAGCACAGUAAGAGCUUGCUCUUACGGGUGGCGAGUGGCGGAUGGGUGAGGAAUACAUCGGAAUCUACUUUUUCGUGGGGGAUAACGUAGGGAAACUUACGCUAAUACCGCAUACGACCUACGGGUGAAAGCAGGGGAUCUUCGGACCUUGCGCGAUUGAAUGAGCCGAUGUCGGAUUAGCUAGUUGGCGGGGUAAAGGCCCACCAAGGCGACGAUCCGUAGCUGGUCUGAGAGGAUGAUCAGACACACUGGAACUGAGACACGGUCCAGACUCCUACGGGAGGCAGCAGUGGGGAAUAUUGGACAAUGGGCGCAAGCCUGAUCCAGCCAUACCGCGUGGGUGAAGAAGGCCUUCGGGUUGUAAAGCCCUUUUGUUGGGAAAGAAAAGCAGCAGGUUAAUACCCCGCUGUUCUGACGGUACCCAAAGAAUAAGCACCGGCUAACUUCGUG
rnacentral:rRNA from 1 species